rnacentral:rRNA from 1 species
UUUAUGGAGAGUUUGAUCCUGGCUCAGGAUGAACGCUGGCGGCGUGCCUAAUACAUGCAAGUCGAGCGAACGGACGAGAAGCUUGCUUCUCUGAUGUUAGCGGCGGACGGGUGAGUAACACGUGGAUAACCUACCUAUAAGACUGGGAUAACUUCGGGAAACCGGAGCUAAUACCGGAUAAUAUUUUGAACCGCAUGGUUCAAAAGUGAAAGACGGUCUUGCUGUCACUUAUAGAUGGAUCCGCGCUGCAUUAGCUAGUUGGUAAGGUAACGGCUUACCAAGGCAACGAUGCAUAGCCGACCUGAGAGGGUGAUCGGCCACACUGGAACUGAGACACGGUCCAGACUCCUACGGGAGGCAGCAGUAGGGAAUCUUCCGCAAUGGGCGAAAGCCUGACGGAGCAACGCCGCGUGAGUGAUGAAGGUCUUCGGAUCGUAAAACUCUGUUAUUAGGGAAGAACAUAUGUGUAAGUAACUGUGCACAUCUUGACGGUACCUAAUCAGAAAGCCACGGCUAACUACGUGCCAGCAGCCGCGGUAAUACGUAGGUGGCAAGCGUUAUCCGGAAUUAUUGGGCGUAAAGCGCGCGUAGGCGGUUUUUUAAGUCUGAUGUGAAAGCCCACGGCUCAACCGUGGAGGGUCAUUGGAAACUGGAAAACUUGAGUGCAGAAGAGGAAAGUGGAAUUCCAUGUGUAGCGGUGAAAUGCGCAGAGAUAUGGAGGAACACCAGUGGCGAAGGCGACUUU